GUGAAAUCGCCGGCAGGACUUAGCUAGCGCCCGAGCUACCCCGCUGCUACUGCCAGCGUCCCCUGUUUAUAUCGCAGGGAUGCUCCGGUCCGUCAGAAAUAAAGCCAGAAGAAUCGGCCUUUAUUCCGGUUUCACAUCCAGGUUAUGGAGCGAGGCUGGGUGGAGCCAGGGAGGAGCUGACAUCAGAUCUGAUUCCUGAGCAGUGCUGCUGGUUUGUUUGUGACAUUCGCCCAACUUUUCAGUGAGAACAUCACAGCUGGUCGUUGUUUUUAAUUUUUUUAAUUUUUCUUGAAAAAUAACACAAAUAACAUAACGUGAAAAAGGCUUCUGAAAAUAAUUACAAUGCUACAGGAUUCCCGUUUUGAUACUCGAAAAGAGGAAAAAAAAAAAAAAA